rnacentral:rRNA from 1 species
GACGAACGCUGGCGGCGUGCCUAAUACAUGCAAGUAGAACGCAGUUGCGAACGGGUGAGUAACGCGUAGGUAACUGCCUGGUAGCGGGGGAUAACUAUUGGAAACGAUAGCUAAUACCGCAUACUACCAGAUGGACCUGCGUUGUAUUAGCUAGUUGGUGGGGUAACGGCCCACCAAGGCAACGAUACAUAGUCGACCUGAUAGGGGGUACCGCCAACCUUGCACUGAGACACGGCCCAGACUCCUACGGGGAGCAGCAGUAGGGAAUCUUCGGCAAUGGACGGAAGUCUGACCGAGCAACGCCGCGGGAGUGAAGAAGGUUUUCGGGUCGUAAAGCUCUGUUGUAAGGGAAGCGGUAUCUUACCAGAAAGGGACGGCUAACUACGUGCCAGCAGCCGCGGUAAUAC